GUCAAGAGAGAAUUGCCCAAACAGGUAAGUUCAAAAUGCUUUGUGUGUGUGUGUGUGUGCCUGAUUCAUGAGAUAUUAGAUGACUGUUUGUCUGUUUUUGUGUUCUGACAUGUUUUUGUGUUCUGACAUGAGUUUAAGGCAGAAUAUAGGUCUCAAUUUUAUGUUAUGUCUGAUUUGUUUCGAUGGUUGAAUUAGCAUAAGUUCCAUGUUCAGCAAAAGAUGUAAAUACAACCAGAUGACAAAACAAUAAGCGAGUAAAGCUAAGGACACAUUUCAACCACAGCAAAGUGGUGAUGAUUAGUUCAGUUCUAUAAGAUUUUGUCAAUGAUUAAGCGGAUACAUUUUAACAAUAGAAAGCAAACGUUAUUUAGUCUAAGGCGCAUGCAUGCAUAAAACAUAAUAUUUGAUGGAUGAUUGGCUGUUUUUUCAAAUGUUCAAUUUCAAAAUAAUAGCAUGUGAUGUAAGUGCACUGUUAUUGUACUCGAUAGAUAUUAAUAAUUAAUAUUUGUGUUUAGUGGCAAACUUGAAGGAGUCAUUUGUUGUUAGUUUGUAGUUCUGCUCUAGCAACUCAAUGGUGGUUAAUUGUUCAUUUAUAUCCUCAGCUCCAAAAGCUUUAUGGACUGUUUUAAUAUUGUAUUUUAAUUGUUGAUAUGUAGCUUCGAAAAGGUAAAGUUUUU
rnacentral:misc_RNA from 1 species